rnacentral:misc_RNA from 1 species
GGAAGGAUCAUUAACACAUUGUCCAUUUGAAGGAAGUGGAGUGUCUAUUUAGAAGGUUUUUUAAAACUUCUUAAUAUUGUAUCCCACUUCCUUUCAAACAUCACGUUAAAUAAGUUGAAGUCCUCAACAAUAAGUUUUUUUAAAACUGUCAUUGGAGUGGAACUAUCAAAAAGUGAAUCAAAGAUAGUGUAUUCGAAAGGAUAUCAACUAUCGACUGAUGUUUACAAAAAAAAAGAGUAAAACAUAUAUAAUCAUAUAGACAACUUGUAACAGUGGAUACCUUGGUUCCCAGGUCGAUGAAGAGCGCAGCGAACUGCGAUAAGUCAUGUGAAUUGCAGAAUUCCGUGAAUCAUCGAACUCUUGAACGCAAAUUGCACUUUGGUGUUGAGCCAAAGUGUGCCUGCUCGAGUGUCGGCAAUAAAUACUCAAACUAAUUUAGUUUGAAUAAUGAGAGUUUAGUACUGAGUGCUGAUCUCUUUAAAUAGAUAGGAGCUUUGAUUCGUUAUAUAUAAAUCAUUCUUAAAGUUGAUUGAUUUGAUCUUACGAAUAUCCAUAAAAGCAAGUGAUUAAGUAACUUUAUGGUUACCAAUAUCUUUGCUUUUGUUUGUUUGUAUCAUUCAAUUAAUUCUAAUUUGAUUUGAAUCAUUGAUUAUUAUUCCUUUGUGUGUUUGAAUAGUAGCUUUUUACGAAAAAAACACAAUUUAAUCAAAAUCUCGACCUCGAAUUAGGCAAGAUCACCCGGUGGACUUAAGCAUAUUACUAACCGGAGGAAAAGAAACUAACAAGGAUGCCCUUAGUAACGGCGAGUGAAGCGGGCAGAGCUCAAAUUUAAAAUCUGGGAGUCUAAUGAUUCUCCGAAUUGUAGUUUUUGGAUCGUUAGUCACGGGGCUGUCAAUGUGGGAGUAAGUUCUUUGGAACAAGGCGUCAAAGAGGGUGAGAACCCCGUAUGCGUCCCCAUUGAUAGUUCAAUAGGUGUCUAGCUUUUCACGAGUCGGGUUGUUUGGGAUUGCAGCCCUAAAUAGGUGGUAGAUCUCAUCUAAAGCUAAAUAUUCCUGGGAGACCGAUAGCGAAGAAGUAGUGUGAACGAAAGGUGAAAAGAACUUUGAAAAGAAGGUGAAAAGUACUUGAAGCUGUUCCAAGGGAACCGUAUGUAACCAGUGAUUGCUUGUGAGUAAUUCAAUGUGCUGUUGGCAAAUGAUGUUGAAUACAAGGAGAUGUACGUCCCUUAGUGUUUGAGUCAUGCGUUAAGAGCGCGUGUACUUUAUUUAUAAGCGAGUCAACAUCAGUUUAUUGAGUUACGGAGAAAGGUGAAGGGAAGGUAGGUCGAUCUUUCGGGAUCUUCUGUUAUAGCCCUUUAUUGCAUACGUAACUUUAGACUGAGGAAAGAAAACGCAUGCCUCGGCGAGGUAGUUGAUGGACUUGUGAUAAUAAGUGUUUAGGUCUGUUUACAGGCUAGAUGCUUGAUUCGUUACAACGAAGUUAACCCAUCGGUGCGUUAGGGAUGUUGACGAAAUGGUUUCAUGCGACCCGUCUUGAAACACGGACCAAGGAGUCUAACAUGUAUGCGAGUAUUUGGGUGGCAAACCCGAGUGCGCAACGAAAGUGAAUAGGAUGUGAGUUGUUCAACAAUGCAACAUCGACCGACUACUUUUAGGAGUGGAUCGCGUCUGAGCACACAUGAUGGGACCCGAAAGAUGGUGAACUUUGCGUGCGCAGGGUGAAGCCAGAGGAAACUCUGGUGGAGGCUCGUAGAGAUACUGACGUGCAAAUCGUUCUUCUGACGUGCGUAAAGGGGCGAAAGACUAAUCGAACCAUCUAGUAGCUGGUUUACAC